CCUACGGGUGGCAGCAGUGGGGAAUAUUGGACAAUGGGGGGAACCCUGAUCCAGCGACGCCGCGUGAGUGAAGAAGUAUUUCGGUAUGUAAAGCUCUAUCAGCAGGGAAGAAAGCAAUGACGGUACCUGACUAAGAAGCCCCGGCUAACUACGUGCCAGCAGCCGCGGUAAUCCGGCGGGGGCAAGCGUUAUCCGGAUUUACUGGGUGUAAAGGGAGCGUAGACGGUUACGCAAGUCUGGCGUGAAAGGCGGGGGCUCAACCCCCGGACUGGUUAGGAUACUGUAUAACUGGAGUGCAGGGGAGGUAAGUGGAAUGCCUAGUGUAGCGGUGAAAUGCGUAGAUAUUAGGAGGAACACCAGUGGCGAAGGCGGCUUACCGGACUGUAACUGACGUUGAGGCUCGAAAGCGUGGGGAGCAAACAGGAUUAGAUACCCGAGUAGUC
rnacentral:rRNA from 1 species